ACUAAGCUAUCUUGCAACUGAAUAGUUCAUGCAUUAAUUAAACUUCACACCACCUAUGCAAGGUAGGCAAUUAAUUACCAUCAUUUUCAUUUUAAUAGAUGAGAAAACGUAAAGCACAGAAAAGUGAGGACAUGCAGCAAGCCAGAACUUGAGAGCCCCCCUUGCUCACCUCUGUCAUUAUUACUCUACUUUGUGCUGUCACUCUGCACCACAAUUGUUUGCUGUCUGGUGGCUAGACACACGGUGCACAACUGCAUAGGAAACUAUGCCUCAGUCCCCAUGCGCCUGUAUCUUAGUCCACUGGUGAAAACCACAAUGACAAUAAGGAAGGCCAUAGAUUUGCAGUAGGACAUGCCCAGCCUUCUUCACUGAUGGUCUUCUCCAGAUUAAGCAUACAGAUAACAGUUUUGGGGGGAACAUGAGCAAGAGGCUGUGCUGAGGUUAACCCCCAAGAAGGCAAAAAGCAGAGAGGAAGAGCUUGCUGUGGACGAAGCUGAAAGGGUUGGAACCACAACACGUGAGGAUAGAGAAGGUCAUUUUUGCUGAACGGAUACAGAAACAGUAGGCACUGGGAAAGUGAUGGAAUCAGUGGGAUACCUCUUUUUUGGCUCAGGGCUGUAAUGCAAACACAAAAUUAAUGAGGCUGUAGACACAGAACUGUCUACAGCUUUGACAGCUGAAGAGGUUACUACCCUUAACUGCACUAUCUCUGUUUUCCAGGCUAUUUCCCCCUCUUCCCAUCCCCACCAAUCAAGGGUUACUGUUCCCCCCUCACUGACUGCAGAUGUAGUUUCAUUAUUAUUUCAUCAACCAUUUCCAUCAAAUUGAUGUCAGGUUCCAAGAGAAGUCCUGUUCCAGUUCAUGAAAUAAAUUAUCUUGUUUCGAUUAACGCUAGAAAGAUUUCACACGUGUCUAUACUAGAAAAUAUAUGGAACAUAAACUAAAGCAAGUGUGUCACUGAUGGAAAGCAAAGAGUUGUCUUUGGGGAAAAUUGGGGAUGUCCUUCUUCACCUG